rnacentral:lncRNA from 11 species
UUUCCAGACUAAAUAUAUGAAGCUGUAGCUAUGAUCUAAAGGAGGCACAGCCCUUUGAACAAGUUUCAGAAACUGGAAAUAUCACCCCAGAGGUCUUUCCUCCCAAGGGAACAACACAGAAUCCACCAACAAUAGAAGAAAACUUUCACUCAGUAAUUCACAAAUAGACAAUAAAAAUAGUAAAAAGAAAUUUUAAAAACUAAAACAACAUUAAAAAAACUCUGAAUGC